rnacentral:rRNA from 1 species
AUUGAACGCUGGCGGCAUGCCUAACACAUGCAAGUCGAGCGAGCGGCGGACGGGUGAGUAAUGUCUGUGAACCUGCCUGCUGGCGGGGGAUAACUACUGGAAACGGUAGCUAAUACCGCAUACCCUCAGAUGUGCCCAUAUGGGAUUAGCUAGUAGGGGGGGUAAUGGCGCACAUAGGCGACGAUCCCUAGCUGGUCGGAGAGGAUGACCAGCCAAACUGGAACUGAGAAACGGGCCAGACUCCUACGGGAGGCAGCAGUGGGGAAUAUUGGACAAUGGGCGAAAGCCUGAGGCAGACAUGCCGGGGGUGUGAAGAAGGCCUUCGGGUUGUAAGGCACGUUCAGCGGGGAGGCGUUACCGGAAGAAGAAGCACCGGCUAACUCCGUGCCAGCAGCCGCGGUAAUAC